CGCUCAUUGUGGCUCCUCUGCUGCCUGCUGGCAUCUCCCUCCUGGGGCUCCGGAGCAGCUGCUCGCCCGCCUGGCCCGGCAGCCAGCACGGAGCGGGCAGCGCCGGACCCCGCUCCUCACACAGCCCCGAGCCAGGCCGGACCCCGCUCCUCACACAGCCCCGAGCCAGGCCGGACCCCGCUCCUCACACAGCCCCGAGCCAGACCGGCCCCGGCCGGGGGAAUCGCUCCGGGCAGGGCCGGACCCGGCUCCUCACACAGCCCCGAGCCCGGCCGGACCCCGCUCCUCACACAGCCCCGAGCCAGGCCGGCCCCGGCCGGGGGAAUCACUCCGGGAAGGGCCGGCAGUCCCGGGCUGUGUUGAUGCCGGCCCGUCAGCCUAAACACCAUCUGCUGAAAGGGGACCGCUGCGGAGGAGGAAGCAAGGACAAGGAUGGCUUCUCAGAGAUGCAGACAGCGUUUAUUUAUUUUUUCCUGAUUCAGAUGGAUUGUUAAGGGGGAAGAAAAAAGGCUGUAGUACAAAAUCACAUCUUUGUCAGCUACAGAUGUGCACAUGUAGUGUAUAAAGCUAAUGGGGAACAGCGACCAAACUAAUUUGAAAAUCUUCUGAGCUGCUCCUGAAAAAGAAACAACCCCAUAAGAGAGAAACCAAGCCAUGCUGCCCAGAUCUCUUUGUCACAGGUCUCAGGAGAGGGUAGAGAAAUUAAAUCAAGCUCAGUGGGCUUUUAGCUGCCUUUGGAAGAAGUUUCUGCCUGGCAUGAAAGCCACAGCCAUGGCAGGAGCUCAGAGGUGCCUUUCAGAUGAUUACAUUAGCUUUGGCUCCAGGUGUCCGAGGCAGACAGCUGACAAUUACACCUUUUGUUUUCUUUUUCAUGUUUGACAGCCAGAUGCCUUUUUGAUCUGCAGUGUGCAUGUGUGUGUACGUGUAUAUUUAUAUAUAACCUCGGAUCUUUCAUUCUGACAGAGUCACAAAUGACUUAUCUGAGUGUUUUAACAAAUAUAGGGCUGAUUUACACACUAGACCAUCAAAUGAAAGGGUUCCCUUUUGGCACUUGUCUUCCCCUGCAGUUUUACAAAACAUGUUCUUUCCAGUGACACUAAAAUUAUAAGGCUGUUGUGUGGAUUUCACUGAAUAAAAGCUGAUCCUGUAGCUGGCUUCCCAAAACAAUUGUAGAGUUAUAUGGCAAAAUUUUAUUGCUGGACUCUAGAUUUUCGAAUCCCACAAGAAGGCCUGCUGUGACUGCAUGCAUUUUGUGCAGGAUGCCUGUCUAGAAGGAAGAAAUGGCUCAGGAGCUGAGGGAUCUCAGUGAUGGAAAAGCAAAAGGCUAAGCAAAGAAAGAGCAGGAGCUCUUUCUGCAGCUCUGGAAGUCAGACAAACCGAGCAAUUCCUACUGACUGCAUGUUGUGCAGCCCUUGCCAGAAAUAUGAAGAAAAUAUUUGUAUUAGUUCAGGUAUUGCAAAUUACUUUUCCUGCCAAAGAAGAGUUAAAAAUGAAAACCCCCAAGCCCCUUUUUUCCCUGCGUGUUUACUACUGGUCACCGCAGGAGACAGAGUAUUGGCUUGGAAGGCCUCUUAUUGACCUUAUUACAUUCUUACAAAAGGCAAGUUGUUUUCUGGUUUAGAAUAGAGAUUUUCUGCUCAGAGAAAAAAAAUCUUUGCUGGUUAUUUUUGGCUCUAGAGGCAACGCCACUGCAGGAGCUCUGUCCUCACAGGUAAUGGUGCAGCCUGUGGGGGACCAUUAAGUGGUGUUCUGAGAGGCAAAGCGGGCACUUCCAGGCUGGGGUUAUGAUAGAUGAGUUUAAAACCAUGGUGCUCACCACAGCAUUCACAGCCUGCCAUCAGAACUGCUUCAGAAUAAGGCAACAAAAACAUCUGAGCAAACAGUUGUUGUGAACAAGAAAAGUCCUACUGAAGAAGGGGAUUGGGCUAAUUAAUGUGUGACCUUAUGGUUCAAGCCAAGACCAAGACUUGCUCAGACUGCAAAAUUAUGGACUGUCAUUAUGUAAAAGAAGACUUGUUCCAGCAAUUCUUUCUCUUUCCAGGGACUGUUGGCUGGAGAAGGAGAAGCCUGGAGAGUACUGAUGAAUUGGAAGGAAAAACAGUACAAUUAACAACAAAAUGUUGUCCCUGACAAUGGAAGGUAAAUCCUAGAUGCUUUAAAGGUAACAGGUGGUACAGAGCUUUUUUGGUAACAAAACUUCUGAGAAUACCUUGUCCAACAGAAGACACAAAGAGAAAGCCAGGGGCUUAUAUUUCAUAAUGCUCUGGGAGCUGAGCUACCCUCAGAGGAAAGUUAACACUGGCAGUGCUUAGGGUGCCACAUAUGCCACCUUUCUGAGUCUGCCUGUGCAGGAUGUGAUGUGGAGAGCAUGUGGGAUUUAUGAAGUCUCUGAGGAAGACCAAAGUAAUGCUCCUGCCUAACCCUAUUGUGAUUGCAAGUCUGCAUUUCCUCCAGAUCCAUGGAGCUGGCUGUGUUGGUACUUGAUAAUGCCAGAGACCCCAGCAGCUUUCUACAGUGCUGAUGCAGUGGCCUGUGCUCAGGUGUUUGUUUGGAGUGCACCCAAACUCCUAAUGAAGGGGACAAGAAGAGAAAUUGCACAGACAAGAAUUAAAUGUUCUUCCCUAAGCAGAAUACUGAAAAAAGGAUAUGUUGUGCACUUUGAAAUCACUUUUUCCUGCUAAAGGAUGAAAUGUGGGGUAGUUGCCCAGGAAAAGAAAAAAUUAUUUUAUUUUUUUGAAAGCAAAUUCAGGUCUAUUUUUUGAAGGCAAUUUGAGGUCUAUUCCUAAUCCAAGAGGACAUGAUGGAGGAGGAUCUGUUUCUGCAGGAUACCAUCCAGGCUGGGAUGAGCAUUGCUGAGCUGUAACAACAGCUGGAGUCUGCUUGGACACUGUUGUGCUCAUGACCAAAAACUCCUCUUUGAACUGGAAUGUCCAUUUUACACCUGUGAUGUGCCUGGUUAAUUGCAAUGAUAGUGCAUGACUGGGGGCAAAGGGGGAGCCCUUGGAGAAAAAGGUGAGUGCUUGGGAAAGGGGACUUGGCAGAUUUUCCUUAAUGACUCCUGUCUCUUUUGGGGAAAAUCUCUCCCACAGAAAAUAAAUUGAAAGAAGGUAAAAGUGACUGAUUUUAGAAGCUGGAGGAGUAAAAUCUGACAAGGUAAAAGUUUAAAGUGCUGUUUGGUGCAUUAAAAUGAUUGUUGCAGCUAUACUUGGAAUGAGGUGCAUAGGCUGACUUCAAAGGAAAAUGGUGCUAUAGUUAAUAUCUUCUGAGAUGCUAAGAAGAGGAGUGUCCAUCAAAGGAUAGAUAUUGGCCUCAGAGAAUGAGAGUUAGGUAUAUUAAAAUACUUCUGGGUAAUGACUUGAAUGCACAAUGUCUUAAUGAAGGAUAAAUAAAGGCCAAACUCUAAUGCCCCUUCCUAUUAAACAUGAUGCACCAGCAACAGCUGAAAAUAGAGCCCUUUGCAGGCAGGCCCUUUGAAUUUCUGCACCUUUGAAGAAAAGGCUGUACAAAGAUUGUUAAGUGCAUUGCCACUUAGCAGCUGUCCAGGAGAACCAAAACAUACCAGCACUACUAGCUAGUCUGCCAAAUCCCUCUGCAAAACAAAAUCCCAAUAAAACUCUAAAUUGCAGGAAAUCAAUAAUUGUAUCCAAUUAUGAAGGUUAAGUGAUCUGGUGCCAAUCUGAUCUCUCACACUUGAGCAGGGUAGAUACAAGUGCAGGGGGAUGCUGGUGACAAUUUUUCCUCCAGCAACAUGUGAUGAACAUAAUUCUUGUGAGUGUGACAUUUCCAUGGAAGUUGAUAAUCCCUUACCCUGUAAUUCAAAAGAAGUGGAUUUGAAUUUUAUUUUCUUUUUGGCAUCUACUCACACCUGAGUCGGUAUGAUUGCUCAAAGGUGGGAGAUUUGGAUAUGAAGCAAACAGAUUCCUCUCCUCCUGCUGGAGCCAUAAAUCAGCAUUAGCAUGUUCCUGGACUGAAGCCUGUGUCCUGCCCCCACCUUCUGCACCAGAGGAGCUGGGAAUGUCACAUCCACAGAUCCUGAACCAGAGCAAUUCUCCAAAAUCUUAUCACCCCUUGGACUUUCUCAUCCAAGCAUGCUGCCAGAAGAUGGUCACUGAAAGAGACCUAUUCUCUGCAGUUCACAGCCUGUCCUGGAGAGCAGAAACAUGUUCAGUGCUGAACACUGCAGAAGGGCAACACAUUUUCUGAGCUUGCUGGUGAGCUCAUGCAAGCAGAGCCAGUUGUGUUUGCACAUAUAUGGAUUAUUUUGCCUUAAAAAAAAAAAGGUCCUAUAACCAAAAAGCCACCCAGAAUUCUAAAGAAGCAGAAGACCAGAUUUGAUGUUUAAACCUGUAUAAGUUACUGUUAGAUUUAUAGCUAAUCAGUGCCAGGGAGUGGCACGCUUGGAGGGAGAGCCAGUGCCUGCAGCAAAAAUCUGUUUGUAGGAAGCUGUAGUGAUGCCUGUCACUGUUAAAGAAUCUGAUUUAUGGAAGAGAAUCACAAGCUUUAUGGAAGGGAAUUGUGAGACAGGACAGACAGCAUGGAGAAGAUGUAGGGGAUCUAACAAUACUCAGCAGCGCUUCUUGAAAGACAGAAAUAACAACAUGUAUCAGCAGCAGGUAAUCAGCAAAUUGCCCAAUUUGUAAGGCCCCCAUCACAUUUUUCCAUUUGCCCCUUUAUACUUUGGAGGCCUGGUGUGUCUGAAAGCCAGCACACAGCCAGCCCAGUUUCCCUUCUGACCAACACUGGAGUGAGUUUUAAUGAGAACUGGAGUGGUGGUGGUGGCAGAAACAUGUGCUGCCAGAGUGACAUUCUCUCCUGAGCCUUGCUUAUGGUAACAGGGAUGCCUGCAUCUGCUUACAUUCUUCAAUAUUUUAAACCUGACAUUCAUACCCUGUGUUUUACUACCUGCAGGUUUGGCAUAGUUAAUGUGCUUUGAAAAAAACUCAGCACUGCACAGAAACCUCUGCAACAAGUGUUGUGUAUUAACCAUGUAUAUGUGACAGAAAAAUGUGUAUCCAACUAAAGCCUCUGUUACAUAUACACACGUGCCAGCAACACCUUUAAAGACUUCAGCAUUUGGUUUUGGUGCUUAAAAUUCAACGAUGCUCAUGCUUCAAAAACUGGAAGGAUAACACGAAGACAUGAGGUGCCUCAGGGCAAUGAAAGUUACUUCUUAGAGGUAUUUGUGACACAUGAUUUAAAAUAGGAUGCUUAGCUUUUAUUACUCUAAAUCAUUUCUGUUGGCCAUAGAUAUACAGGAAUGGAGUAAAUCCAUUCCUAGUCUGUUACUUCUUCUCCUUCACUUCCAAGAAAUGCAAUUUUUGUUUUAAAAAAUGUACAUGUAAUUAAAGGACAUGUAAUUCAGCAGAAAGUCUUUAAAAUGCAUAACUGAUUAUCUACUUCCUGUAAUUGCUGGUUUGUAUAUUGAAACUUAGAUUGAGU